rnacentral:lncRNA from 1 species
CUUUUCUUUUAGUUAUUCAUGUUUAUCUGCAGAAGAACAUUUUAGGAGUGAAUAAUCCCUUUUUAUACAUUGCAGAUCUGCCAGUCCUAUGGGGGUAGUUACAGCCUAUGGCGACAGGAAAUGGAACACACAUAGAAGCUCAGGUGUUUCUCUAGUGGCAGCUGCCAGCCAAAAAACGUUGAUUUUGUUUUGCUUUCUGGUAGUGUCUUGUGGUCCAUGGCAGAGUUCUUGAGGCAGUUUCAUGAUCCUUUAGGGCAACCCAUAAAAUUAACUGAAAAUUGGACAAACCAAAGAUUAACAGGAAAGCUUCUGAGAAAUCUGUACCUCGAAUAAUAGAUGAUGAUAGCAUGGAGGUAAGACCUCCUAGUACAAUGAAUUUCUCCACAUACAAAAUUGAGCAGGAGCGGAAAACAGGAAGCACAGAAGGACAAGGCACAUUUUGAAGUAUGAAGUGGUGCUGGAGAUACAGCUCGAUGGUUAAGAGCUCCCAUUCUUCGUGCAUUGGAACUGGGUUCACUGUCCCAGCAUUCACCUAGAGGCUUAUCACAUUUUUGUGACUCUAGUUCCAGGGGAUCUAAUGUCUUCUGACUUCCAAGGGCAAAAUGCAUGCACAGUGUACACCUACAUAUGUGCAGGUACAUGCCAAAUCCAGAAGAGGGCGUCAGAUCCCCUGGAGCUGGAGUUACAGGCAGUUAUGAGGCAACUGGCAACUGAAUGUAGGGCUUCUGCAGGAGAGGAAGGCAGUGUUAAACUGCUGAAGUCCUGGGAGCUGGGGGUGUGGCUCAGUAGGAAUGCUGGCUUCUGUGAAAGAAGCAGUGAGCAAGAUCCCCAGCACUGCACAACAACGGGAAGACUCCCCACAGACCAUGAAGGUUGACAAGUACUGACCAGAGAUUUGCAAGAUACACGGGGAUUGUGUCCAGUUAACAAAGUUGGUAAGAUCAUUAUGCCAUGUUUUUUGAGUUGUUCCCUGGAGAGCAGAGAGAUAAACUGGCUAUGGAUCACAGCAC